rnacentral:rRNA from 1 species
UACGGAGGGGGCUAGCGUUGUUCGGAAUUACUGGGCGUAAAGCGCACGUAGGCGGCUUUGUAAGUUAGAGGUGAAAGCCCAGGGCUUAACCCUGGAAUUGCCUUUAAGACUGCAUCGCUUGAAUCCGGGAGAGGUGAGUGGAAUUCCGAGUGUAGAGGUGAAAUUCGUAGAUAUUCGGAAGAACACCAGUGGCGAAGGCGGCUCACUGGACCGGCAUUGACGCUGAGGUGCGAAAGCGUGGGGAGCAAACAGG